CCCUGUCGUAGUGCUAGAUAUACUCCCAACGGUGGUGGAGGUUCACCCUUGACUGCGAAGCAGAGUGACUUUCCUGUCACACCUGGUGCUGAGAU
rnacentral:ribozyme from 1 species